GGGUUGUUAACUCAAUGGUAGAGUACUCGGCUUUUAAUUCAUAAAUAAAUUAAAAAAUAUUGGUUGACAUACA
rnacentral:tRNA from 2 species